CUGUAAGCCGUUGAAGGGAAAGCUGUGAGGCAUCCUGGAGGUAUCAGAAGUGCGAAUGCUGACAUGAGUAACGAUAAUGGGGGUGAAAAACCUCCACGCCGGAAGACCAAGGUUUCCUAUCCAACGCUAUUCGAGGUAGGGUGAGUCGGCCCCUAAGGCGAGGCAGAAAUGCGUAGUCGAUGGGAAGCAGGUUAAUAUUCCUGCACCGGCGGUAACUGCGAUGAGGGGACGGAGAAGGCUAGGCGAGCGCAGCGUUGGUUGUCUGCGUUUAAGGAUGUAGGUUGGGGGAUUAGGCAAAUCCGGUCCCCUAAGACUGAGAUCUGAUGACGAGGUUCUUAGGAACUGAAGUCGUUGAUGCCACGCUUCCAGGA
rnacentral:rRNA from 1 species